rnacentral:rRNA from 1 species
CCUACGGUGUGCAGCAGUGGGGAAUAUUGCACAAUGGGGGAAACCCUGAUGCAGCGACGCCGCGUGAGUGAAGAAGUAUUUCGUUAUGUAAAGCUCUAUCAGCAGGGAAGAAAAUGACGGUACCUGAGUAAGAAGCCCCGGCUAACUACGUGCCAGCAGCCGCGGUAAUACGGAGGGGGCAAGCGUUAUCCGGAUUUACUGGGGGUAAAGGGAGCGUAGACGGCAGUGCAAGUCUGGAGUGAAAGCCGGGGGCUCAACCCCCGGACUGCUCUGGAAACUGUACGGCUGGAGUGCAGGAGAGGUAGGUGGAAUUCCUGGUGUAGCGGUGAAAUGCGUAGAUAUUAGGAGGAACA